rnacentral:SRP_RNA from 1 species
CGAGUAUCGGUGUUCACGCAAGUAUGAUGCCAGAGUUCGCUA